UCGGGAAUUUUGCGCAAUGGACGAAAGUCUGACGCAGCAACGCCGCGUGAGGGAUGAAGGCCUUCGGGUUGUAAACCUCUUUUGUCAGGGACGAUGAUGACGGUACCUGACGAAUAAGCCACGGCUAACUACGUGCCAGCAGCCGCGGUAAUACGUAGGUGGCAAGCGUUGUCCGGAUUUACUGGGCGUAAAGAGCGCGCAGGCGGUCGUUCAAGUCGCGUGUGAAAGCCCCCGGCUCAACUGGGGAGGGUCACGCGAUACUGGUCGACUCGAAGGCAGGAGAGGGUAGUGGAAUUCCCGGUGUAGUGGUGAGAUGCGUAGAUAUCGGGAGGAACACCAGUGGCGAAGGCGACUACCUGGCCUGUUUCUUGACGCUGAGGCGCGAAAGCUAGGGGAGCAAACGGGAUUAGAUACCCCGGUAGUCCUAGCCGUAAACGAUGGACACUAGGUGUUGGUGGUAUCAACCCCGCAGUGCCGAAGCUAACGCAUUAAGUGUCCCG
rnacentral:rRNA from 1 species